GCCUGACUAGCUCAGUCAGUAGAGCAUGGGACUCUCAAUCCCAGGGCCAUGGGUUCGAACCCCAUGUUGGGCA
rnacentral:tRNA from 1 species